rnacentral:pre_miRNA from 1 species
AGCCACUGACCCAUGCACAUUGUGCUUUCUCUGACCAACUGUGCGUGUGACAGCGGCUAA